rnacentral:lncRNA from 1 species
UGAGGAUGAGGUAGGGCAGAUUAAACAGUCUGGAAUUUCACAAAGCAAACAGUGUGGGGUGCAGACAGGAUUCUUGUCUCGCUUCGCGGGCGCAUCAUUUCAACAGGUCGCAUCCCUUUCGAACAGGUCCCACAAGACGGGUACACAAGUUGCUAAAGAACCAAAGAGGAAUAAACAACGGAAGUCGAGAGAGGGAUUCUGGGUAGUCCAACUAGAACUGCCAUACACUUCUAUCGCCACCCUGACAGCAUCUGGCUGACAGCCGCUGGUUGCUCUUAUAGCAGGCUAUGGGAUCUUUAUGGCCUUUUCCAGACAGCAGGUGGAGAACAGACCGAUGACUUCGUACUACAAGGCCUUGAUGACAACCAAAUGGCUGAGCCUCCAUGACUGCCCAGACAUCAAUUCCUAUUCGUAACCUGUUUCAGCUGCCCGUGGGGACUGCCCUGUGGAGUCUGGUUUGGCUCAGAACUGAUAGGAUUCUUAGUCUGGAUUGUGUGUAUUACUAAUGAAAUACACGCUGCCGUAGCAUUAUAAACUCUAGCAUACCCCCCCCCCCCCGGGGUACGGUAUGCUAAGAUGCCAUAUGCUUUUCUCCAUUCCACCCCCGCCCCAACAUUUGGGCUUUAUAAAAGCCAUUAAAGAGUAGGCUCCCAGUGAGGCUUCGUGACUGAGGUCUAGCCGUGCGUGCAUGAGCUGAUCAGCCUUCCAUCCCAGGCAUCGUUUUCUUUAUCGUUGAACAGAAGAUUGGACACCAAUCACACAGCUAUCAGUCACAACUUAAAAAAAAAUAAUAAAUAAAUAAAUAAAUCCUUGGGUAAAAGUCACAAGAGGAAGUAAAGUCCAUUUGGGAAUUUGAGAACACACAGGAUCUUUUCUUUUUUUUUUUUCCCCCACCUCCCCCCCCCUCCUACCCCCACUCCCCUCAGGAGAAUUUCAAAGUUUCAACCUGUUUCAGUGCUGCCCAUCUGGCUGCUUUAUUAAUGAAAACAGCGGCCUCUUCUGAAGCUCUUUGCAAAGCAACUGAAUUUUUGUAGAAAGAAAGAAAGGAAAGGAAACAAAAAUUCACAGGGAAAACUUUCUCCAUUUAACGCCCCUUAGUUUUUCUUUUAUUAUUUUUUCUAAGGAAAAUAAAAAUAAAAAAAUCUCCCUGGAGGAUGCUUCAGAGCGAGUGUGCGCAUAGACAUAUUCAGUGCGUCAUACCUGGUAUUGUAGGUCUAUUCCGCUGCGUGGGGGUUUCCAGAACAAUUACAUAAGUGUCAACAGAGCCAGGAACUUUUGACAUUUGUGGCAGCUUAAUGGCGUUCUUCUCAUCAUUGAAAAUAUCCUAAUGGUUGCUUCCUUAAAUUGAAAAUGCCUAAAGCCGGUGGCACAGCAGGAGUUGACUCCGAGGCAUUUCUGUCAAGUAUGCUUUGUUGGCAAAGAAACCGGAGAAAAUUUGUUUGAAAUGAGACCUGGCUGAUGCAGCUGCAGCAAACACGACGAUCUAAAUUGAAUUCUCCAGUAAAAGUUAUGUGAGGUCCUAAAGUCUGGUGAGACAUUUUGGCUAUUUUCCUGCUGCUACCCAGGAAAAUAGUCUAUAAACUUGGAUGCCUGAUGCUGGGGAGAUGGCUCAAUGGAUUAGAGCACUGACUACUCUUCCAGAGGACCCGGUUUGAUUCCCAGCACCUACAUGGCACCUUACAACUGUCUGUAUCUCUGAGACCUGACACCCUCACACAGACAUACACAUAGGCAAAACACCCAAUGCCCAUUAAAAAGACAGAGCAACAACCAAAACUCAGGUGCCCACAGAACAUGGUUUCCUUCGAUAAUCUACUAUCAUGGUUUUGAGAAAGCUGGCUUUCAAAAGUGUCUAGCAUAUUCUAAAACCAUGUUUUAUCUUUCAAAAUACCACAUAACAGCUCAGGGAAUGUAGUUCAAUUGGUAGAGUGCUUGUCUAUGACACACUAGAUUUGAACCCUAGCACCAUGUAAACCUAGCAUGGCAUUGACUCUUCUAAAGUCCGAGCCCUUGGGACAUAGAGGAAGAGGGUCACAAGUUCAAGAUUAUUCACAGUCAUACAGUCAGUCUAAUUCAAU